rnacentral:rRNA from 1 species
CCCUUUAGGGGGAACCUGCGGAAGGAUCAUUACCGAGUGCGGGUCCUUUGGGCCCAACCUCCCAUCCGUGUCUAUUGUACCCUGUUGCUUCGGCGGGCCCGCCGCUUGUCGGCCGCCGGGGGGGCGCCUCUGCCCCCCGGGCCCGUGCCCGCCGGAGACCCCAACACGAACACUGUCUGAAAGCGUGCAGUCUGAGUUGAUUGAAUGCAAUCAGUUAAAACUUUCAACAAUGGAUCUCUUGGUUCCGGCAUCGAUGAAGAACGCAGCGAAAUGCGAUAACUAAUGUGAAUUGCAGAAUUCAGUGAAUCAUCGAGUCUUUGAACGCACAUUGCGCCCCCUGGUAUUCCGGGGGGCAUGCCUGUCCGAGCGUCAUUGCUGCCCUCAAGCCCGGCUUGUGUGUUGGGUCGCCGUCCCCCUCUCCGGGGGGACGGGCCCGAAAGGCAGCGGCGGCACCGCGUCCGAUCCUCGAGCGUAUGGGGCUUUGUCACAUGCUCUGUAGGAUUGGCCGGCGCCUGCCGACGUUUUCCAACCAUUCUUUCCAGGUGACCUCGGAUCAGGUA